rnacentral:tRNA from 1 species
GUCCCCAUCGUCUAGAGGCCUAGGACACCGCCCUUUCACGGCGGUAACAGGGGUUCGACUCCCCUUGGGGACG